AUUGAACGCUGGCGGCAUGCCUUACACAUGCAAGUCGAACGGUAACAGGUCUUCGGAUGCUGACGAGUGGCGAACGGGUGAGUAAUACAUCGGAACGUGCCCGAUCGUGGGGGAUAACGAAGCGAAAGCUUUGCUAAUACCGCAUACGAUCUACGGAUGAAAGCGGGGGAUCGCAAGACCUCGCGCGGACGGAGCGGCCGAUGGCAGAUUAGGUAGUUGGUGGGAUAAAAGCUUACCAAGCCGACGAUCUGUAGCUGGUCUGAGAGGACGACCAGCCACACUGGGACUGAGACACGGCCCAGACUCCUACGGGAGGCAGCAGUGGGGAAUUUCGGACAAUGGGCGCAAGCCUGAUCCAGCCAUGCCGCGUGCAGGAUGAAGGCCUUCGGGUUGUAAACUGCUUUUGUACGGAACGAAAAGACUCUGGUUAAUACCUGGGGUCCAUGACGGUACCGUAAGAAUAAGCACCGGCUAACUACGUGCCAGCCGCCGCCGUAACAC
rnacentral:rRNA from 1 species